rnacentral:lncRNA from 1 species
AUCAGCAAAGGGUUUGUACUAUGAUGAAAAGUGGAGUAUGGAGCACCGAUGUAAACAAGGGCAACUUCUGAUGAUUGAGCCAAUUAGAGAAGAACCGGAAGUAAAAGAGUUGGACUCCGAUCAUAAAGGUAUGAAAACUGAUGAAGAUAUUGAAGACAUCACACAUAUAGUGCAUGCAUUGGCUAGUUAUGCUAACCCACAAACUAUGAAAAUCGGAGGAACUUU